rnacentral:rRNA from 1 species
AAAGCUCAAAUUUGAAAUUCUGGCGUCUUCGACGUCCGAGUUGUAAUUUGAAGAAGGCGACUUUGUAGCUGGUCCUUGUCUAUGUUCCUUGGAACAGGACGUCAUAGAGGGUGAGAAUCCCGUGUGGCGAGGAUCCCAGUUAUUUGUAAAGUGCUUUCGACGAGUCGAGUUGUUUGGGAAUGCAGCUCUAAGUGGGUGGUAAAUUCCAUCUAAAGCUAAAUAUUGGCGAGAGACCGAUAGCGAACAAGUACAGUGAUGGAAAGAUGAAAAGAACUUUGAAAAGAGAGUGAAAAAGUACGUGAAAUUGUUGAAAGGGAAGGGCAUUUGAUCAGACAUGGCGUUUGCUUCGGCUUUCGCUGGGCCAGCAUCAGUUUUAGCGGUUGGAUAAAUCCUCGGGAAUGUGGCUCUGCUUCGGUAGAGUGUUAUAGCCCGUGGGAAUACAGCCAGCUGGGACUGAGGAUUGCGAC